CUGCCAUCGAUUGUUGUUGACAAAACUUUUAGUCCACUUGAACCAAAUUAAACCGUGAAUGUUUUUUAAUCAAUUUGUUUCUUGAGCUUGUUUCUACUCCUGGAAAAAUCAUAGCUCCCAAAAGUUACAAUGAAAAUAGCCGUUGCAGUUCAACGUUUUAUAUUUAAAUCUCAUUGUAUUCGGAAAUGGAAUUGGUCGAUUUCGUAUUCUUCCUGGAUGAGUGCCCAAACACAAUGUGAACGGCAAUGCGGCAGAACGGUAACGGCAAAUUUCCAACACAUGGAACUAUAUGGUGCAGCCCACAAUGACGGCGCUGCGGCAAAAGUGACAUUGUACUAAAUCUCAGAAAUUUGGAACUUGGCGGAACAGCAAAGCGGUAAACGUCAAACGUCCCAAUCAAGAUCAACGAAUGAGAAUGCCUGAGGUACUUUUUAAGAUGAUUUGUAAACAAAUAUAUUUUUGCCUAAAAAUCUGCUCACGAAUGUAUAUAUUUUCGAAGAAACAGCAAGUCAUGAUGCCCUCCUUUUAUUAUACUAAUAAAAGUGAAAAUAAUGACAAUAAUGUUACAAAAAUAAACUGUUUGUGGCUAUUUUGAACUGUCAGUAUCGCCUUUCAACCGUUCACAUUGUGGGUUGGUUAGCGGCAAAGCGGCAACGGCAGAACGGCAACGGCAGUUUUAGAACAAUUCCGCUCUGCCGC